rnacentral:rRNA from 1 species
CCUACGGGAGGCAGCAGUAGGGAAUCUUCCGCAAUGGACGAAAGUCUGACGGAGCAACGCCGCGUGAACGAUGAAGGCCUUCGGGUCGUAAAGUUCUGUUGUUAGGGAAGAACAAGUGCUAGUUAAAUAAGCUGGCACCUUGACGGUACCUAACCAGAAAGCCACGGCUAACUACGUGCCAGCAGCCGCGGUAAUACGUAGGUGGCAAGCGUUGUCCGGAAUUAUUGGGCGUAAAGCGCGCGCAGGCGGUUUCUUAAGUCUGAUGUGAAAGCCCCCGGCUCAACCGGGGAGGGUCAUUGGAAACUGGGAAACUUGAGUGCAGAAGAGGAAAGUGGAAUUCCAAGUGUAGCGGUGAAAUGCGUAGAGAUUUGGAGGAACACCAGUGGCGAAGGCGACUUUCUGGUCUGUAACUGACGCUGAGGCGCGAAAGCGUGGGGAGCAAACAGGAUUAGAUACCCUGGUAGUCCACGCUGUAAACGAUGAGUGCUAAGUGUUAGAGGGUUUCCGCCCUUUAGUGCUGAAGUUAACGCAUUAAGCACUCCGCCUGGGGAGUACGGUCGCAAGACUGAAACUCAAAGGAUUGA